rnacentral:tRNA from 1 species
GACCGCGUAGCUCAGUUGGCAGAGCAUUGGGCUAGUAUUCCAAAGGUUGUAGGUUCGAAUCCCACCGUGGCCA